rnacentral:piRNA from 1 species
UUCCAGAAUGCUGGGUUUAUGGACCGAGG